rnacentral:lncRNA from 1 species
CAGGUCAUUCAACAUUUAUUCAACCAAAAAUACUAAGUCAGCUCUAUACAAACUAAUGGAAGGAUACAGCUAUGCAAAUAUAGAACACUAAAGUGUUACAUGACAGAUGUAUGAGAUAUUAAAGUAAUUGUGAAAUAAAAGAAAAAAUUGUCUGAUAAAACCACAUCUCAUAGAAACCCAAUGAAUGCAACACAUCUAAAAUUUUAUCUGCAAAAAACGAGAGAAGACUUGCCCUUCUGUCAGUAAAGCACAGAUAAAGAGAAGUAAACUUUUCUGGAUUGAGGCAAUAAUUGGGCAUCAAGAGUCCACGUGACAACUGAGGCUGGCAGUUCAAAUGUCACACCUCUUAGGAAUGACUUUCCUUGCACAGUGCUCUCCUCAGGGCACCCUUGACCUCUACAUUCCUCAGGUUGUAAAUCAGGGGGUUUAGCAUCGGGUUGAAAGAACUGUAAAAUAGAAAAAGGACCUUCUGCUGCUCCUCAGGAUGGCGGGACUUAGGGGCCAUGUACAUGACGAUGGCGCUGCCAAAGAAGAGUCCCACUACGCAGAGGUGGGAGGAGCAGGUGGAGAAGGCCUUUCUGCGGCCCUCCCCAGACUGGAUCCUCAGGAUGGCCGCCAGGAUGUGUGAGUAGGAGACCAGCACCAGGCAGAGUGGUCCCACCAGGAUGAACAUGCAGGCUGCAAAGAUGACCACCUGGUUGAGCCAGGUAUCAGCACAGGCCAGCCUGAGGACAGACAGGAUUUCACAGAAGAAGUGGUUGAUUUCACGAGGCCCACAAAAGGGCAGUCUUAGGAUGAGGCUCACAUGGACCAUAGCCAGGAGGGAGCCACAUGUCCAGGAAGUGAUGGCCAGAGUGAUGCAGACUUUCCAGGUCAUGAUGAUGAAAUAUCGGAGAGGGUGGCAGAUGGCCACGUACCGAUCGUAGGACAUCAGCACCAACAGGAGGCAUUCAGUAUGUGCAAAACUCAAAAAGAGAAAGGUCUAUGUCAUGCAGCCAGCAAAGGAGAUGGGCUUGGCUGGAUGCAGGAGGUUCACCAGCAUCUGGGGCACUGUGUUGCAGGCAUAGGCGAUGUUGACGACGGCCAGGUGUGAGAGGAAGAAGUACAUGGGGGUGUGGAGUCUGGAGUCCAGUGAGAUGAGCCCCAGGAUGGUCCCAUUCCCCAGCAGGGUGAAGACAUAGAACAGGGAGAAGAGCCCAAAGAGGAGCAUCUGAAUCCUUGGGCCCAGGAGAAAUCCCAGUAGGAGGAACUCUGUGACCAUUGUCUGAUUUUUCACCAUUUCACUACUAAAAAACAAACAAAGAAACAAACAAAAAACAAGCAGCUGUGUGACACGCUUUUUUUUAAAGUCUAUUUUAUUUAUUGUUUUAUAAAUUUUUAGUUUGUGGAAAAUUGUUAGUAAAUGUCUUUAAGAACUCAUUCAGUUAUACAUAAGUAAAGUUUUACUUGAAAACUUGCUGUUAAUUCAAGUCCUUCAUAUUUGUAACAAUCACUAUACCUGAAAUCCCAAAUGCAAGAAAUUGUUUUUCAAAUAGAAAAAGUGUAGCUGACUUCAGCAACAAGAAUUGCAAUAUACUAUAUAAGUAACCAACGGAAGGAAAUUAUUGACAAAUCAAUAAUUCAAUUUGGCACUUGACAAAUGGCAGCAUCAAUGAAUUAGCAGUAAGAUGCUUAGCCUGUGAGUUGGUGGUGUGCUGAAUUGAUGAAUUUGUUUUUUUGACCUUGGAUCUUGGAUCACAGUUUCCUUAAUGAACUUCAACAUGGUUUUUGGUGCAAACAUUUGUCAAUGCCAUUGCAAGAACAAAAUAACUUGAGUCUUAUCUACUUUAGUGAGAUUAAAGUGAGGAAAGGCACUGUUUUUGGCCAGUCCCUAGUUUAAUUUUUGUCAGUACUAACUGGGAUAUAAAGGUGUGUUUCCCGAGGAUAUAAGAGACAGACUUGCAUUCUGAGAAAUAAAUUUGUGAAACCCACAUGUAACUGAUGAGAAUAACAAUCUAGAGGUGAGAAACACGACACUUUCAGGAAACAUUGAGUGGAGAGUUUGAGGAGCCUCCAGAAGGCCACUGCGGGUGCUUUGAUGAAAUCUCUGGGAGGCACAGCAGAAGAAUGUGAUUCAUUCAGUGAGCCCAAGUGUAGUCGGUUGUAUGGCGUGCCUGUCUGGAGGAAGACUGUAGGAAAAAGAAGGCAGGUGACCAAUAUGGAGUGUAGUCAUCAGGCCAGAGGGGCAGCAUUUGGCAAUGCAUCCUUAAUGACAUUCAGGGUAAGGAAAAAGGGGAACCAGCUGCACCAGGAUCCUAGCCAUCUGGUGAUUCUAUGUCUACAGUCUGGAUAGAUGGUUUGGGUAAAUAGCCCUAGCUAGUAAAAUCUCUAAUUAGCCCCUCUUGCUCUGAUUUCAUAUUCAUCAAUCAACUGUUAGGUAACAAUUUAUCUUCUUGAGCAGUUAUUUCUACAAAGAAGAAAUGUGUUGAGUACUAAACUUCUUGACUCCUUUUGCAGUCACAUUUUCAAGUUUAAAUAAAUGAACAUUUAGGUAUCCUGGCUUAUGCAUUUUCCUCUUUUGCUUUUGGGUUGUAUGAUGCAGUUCCUGAACAAAAUUCCCAAAGCUGAAUCUAAAAUGUGAGGACCAGACUCUGGGUCAAGGAAACCUCAUUGAAGCAAGAACUGGGGAAAGAGACAGAUUCCUUUCUAACAGCAACAGAUGAGAUAUCUAUUUUCUUAUAAGCAUUAUUGAUAGGUGAUCAAGUUACCUUGACACAAAAAUAAUCUAAAUAACAAAUUAAAAAUUCCUCACUUGUGACCAGGACUUAUUAAAUUUUAGGUUGAUAGUAAAAAUUUCUCAGUAGGUGCCGUCAUAUGCACCUGUAGUUCCAGCUACUUGGGAGGCUGAAAGCAGGAGGAUAGCUUGAGCCCAGGAGUUCCAGGACAGCCUGGAUAACAUGGCAAGCCCUCAUCUCAUAAAAUAACAUAAAAUAAAAAAUUUCUGUGUUUAUCAAACUUUCUAAAUUUAUUUUUUAAGCUCAUAAGGCAUAGAAAAAUAUUUGACUGUGAAAGAUGUAUUCAAACCCACCCACUUAUAAAAUAAUAAUUUCCUUUCUCAAUUUUUCAUUUCCCUCAAAAGGAAGACAUAAAGGAAAAAAGAAACACAGUAAAAGCCAUGAUUUUUUGAAGCCAACUGAAAGACAGGUGUAAAAGAAGGAAAAUAAGGUACCUCAUAGUCUGAGUAUUCUUUCAGAACAGUAGUCCUGUUUGAUUCAGCCUUGAUUUCUUUUAAAGAAAUGGAGAGGGCAUGUUCAUUUUUAUAUCCCUUUAAUUGUGUAUGUUAAUACACAUUUUCAAAUGACAUAUAAAUAUAAGCAAAUGAAUUAAUAACUAAGUAUUGAUGUCCUUAUAUUAGAUCUGGUUUCUUUUACAGUAUAGUCAAGUAUAAUUAUGCCAAAUUCAGCCCCUUCUUCCCAAAGGAAAUAAAAUGCUACAAUUCAGGAGAAUUUCAUCCCUAAUGAUCUGAAUUAAAAUGAAAUUUUAAAAAUGUGUCAAGAACAACGGGAAGAUUCAUAAAGUGUUUAAACACUUGAAUUUUGAAUCACUUCUCUUUUAUCUAUUUUUUUUCUUAUUUUAUUUGAUACCUAUGUGACAUACUUAUUGUUAAUUAAAGACAAUCAAGAGGAAACCAAACAGAGUAAAUUUCUAGGGGGUUGGAAGGAGUGGACUGGGGGAUUUUGCUCUACCUUGACACACGUUGUAAUUCCAAAUGUACCUUUCAGGCAUAGAGAUGUACAUUAAUUUAUAUAUGUACAAUUUCAGAAUUUAAAAAAUGACAGAUUAUCUGGCUAAUACAUGGUAAGGAAACUAGAAUUUUAAAGUAAAUAUCUAAGAAGGCAUUUGUUGCUGUAUAUAUAAGCAAAACAGCGUAACUUUAUGGAACCUGCAUUUUAAAAAGCAAAUCUCAAAAUUUAAUGAUCUGUCAGGUUCUUUUUUAAAAUCUUGGGCAUGGGUAAAGCAGAAUCGCUGAAGUGAUUACCUGUAGUUAAUCUGUAGCUCAGCUGAGCUGCAGGGCUGUUUACUUGUAAGUAACAAGUGAGAAAUGAAAACUAAGUUAUCUCAUUGCUUACAUAGUUAUGAGCCAAGACUUUGCAAAGUUGUCUUAUGGAGUCAGAGUUGAUAACGUAAGUACGUUUUCUGGAUAUAAGAACUAUCGUGGACCAUGAAGAACUGAGUGUCAGUUUCAUGUAACGACCGUCUAUUCAAUAAUCUGCUAGAGGUUGAUAACAAUUGAUCCUACUCUUGAGUGCUUCCUGUGAACUGGGCACUGGAGGAACACAGUGUAGCAAGUUGAUGGUUCUGAGCUUGUGAAGAUUUCAUUGUGAAGAUGUGCCUCGGGAGGAAAAGCAGAAAUAAAUAAAAAGGUACACAUUAAACAAAAAUCCUAUAAAAAGAAAAUUUAAAGUAUUAUUAAUUAUUACAUCGUUUUCCUACUUUGUUACACCACCACCUACCACCUGAGUUCUUUUUCUGUACUCUUUCCAUGUGCACCACAAAAACUUAUCCUCCAGUCUAUGGAAAAUCUAAUAUUUAUACAUAUUUAUCUAGUACAUUGCAGGUGCCUUAUGCCCUCUUUAGUGCCAUGCUUAAUGAAAGAUAAGACAUAGAUUUAGCAUCCAUUUGGGUUUAUAUUCUAUUGCAAUAAAUAUAUUCUCAUAGAUUAGCAUGUAUUGUGACUGUACUGGCAAUAAUUAAAUGCAUAAUUUAUUAAACAGCUGACAUGUAUUAAUUUUCCUGAGCUGUAACAUCUCUCCAUAAUAUACUGUGCUAUACUUUCCUUUGGCUGCGAAAAUUAUUUCAUACAUUUUAUCAAAAUCUAUAAAACAGAAAUUUCUGGCUUUUUUUGUGAGUGUCAUCUUUCCCAAAGAAAUCUCUAUCACAUAGAUAUUUCUCCACCAAAGAAACAUAUAUAGCCAAGUCCUAAACACUUUUACAUAAUUUGCACAUCAAAUGUGCAUCUAUUUUUCCCCUGGAACCAUUGAUAUAUAAUAUGAAUAAUGAGCAUAUAUGUUUAGCCAUAAAAUAAAUGAUUUACUUCCCUUCCCAUUACUUAAUAAAAAGUGUUAGUAACAGAGUGAGAGUGAACCAAAGCCUAGGUGCCACCACGAGUCUAGGAGGAAUUCAUGGUAAGUAAAGAAAGGCAACCUGGUUAGCUCCCACAUUCGGACUCAAGGAUCUCAGAAGGGUGAAGCACCGCAAGGUUUCUGGGAGUUUCUGUGGGAGCUGCAGAAUCUUUGCUUCUGUUUCUGAUUGAAAAGGUAUCAGAAUCCUCAGAAAAUGAGGUGUUAUUCUCUGAUGGGCUCAGUCUGGUUGGCAGUUCAGGGCUCUCAGGAGGGGCUGGGCCAUGAAACUUCCUACAUGUUCAACUCCUCGGGGAAGGAGAGAUAAAACAAUUGUGUUUUUCAAUUUCUGUUCUCAACCCCAGCAGGAUGCACAAUUAAGAAACACAUAUUAAGAAACCGCAUAUUCUCACUCAUAGGUGGGAAUUGAACAAUGAGAUCACACGGGCACAGGAAGGGGAAUAUCACACUCUGGGGACUGUUCUGGGGUGGGGGGAGGGGGGAGGGAUAGCGUUGGGAGAUAUACCUAAUGCUAGAUGACGAGUUAGUGGGUGCAGCGCACCAGCAUGGCACAUGUAUACAUAUGUAACUAACCUGCACAAUGUGCACAUGUACCAUAAAACCUAAAGUAUAAUUUAAAAAAAAAAGAAAAGGAAGAAAACGCAAGCUCAAGGUCAGUCAACCACAGAGCACACCUCUGAGACAACCAUUCCCAUCCCGGAAUACUUGGCAUGAUUUGAAUUUCAUGAAUACUCACAUUGCCCUUGUUCCCCAAUCUCCAGAUGGUUCAAGUGAACCUGUCAGGAAGCAGGAACAGUGUGACAAUGAAUAAGCUCCUGGUGUGAACCUCUGGAGCUCAGCCUCUCCCUGAUGUAAUCUGGGUUCCUUGUGUGGCAACAGUAAUGGGAAGAAAGGACCUGAAAUAUUAGUUGAUUCCAAGGGACCCUCUAAGGUUAGAGAGGCAGAGAGCAGACAAGGGUGUCCAAAAUGUCCCAGUGGGGCUUAUUAGAACCUACCUGAAGGGAACGUUUUUCUAGGACACAAAACACCGGUGCAAAUCCACUGUUGAAAAUGUUCUCCAAUGUCUAUUGUGAAAUGGAGAGAUUUUGAGUUCAGCUCCUUUCGGGAGGGGAGGAAAGAAUCCUCUCCAAGGCAGCUUCCUCUAGCAGUUUCCUGCCUCUUGUGGGAUGAGAAGAUUUGCUGUCUAAGAUAUUAUCAUAUUUAUUUGUAUUUUGCUGAGUUCUUUUACUGGAUGUAAGGCAGUCCAAAUGUUAUUUGGAAAUCUCCUAUCAAUCAAUCAUGCAAUUUAGAUAGAAGUUAGUUCCAUACAGUGUGAUCUCUGACUUGCUAAGGUUUAGAAUAAACUCAAAGGGCAAUGUGGCACAGUUAUUAAGGUUUGAGAGUAUGCCCAUCUGUGCUCUGACUCUACACAUCCACUGCGAGAAGAAACAUCCAUAUAACACCAAAAACACUAUAUGAAAAUCUUGUUGCACAGUAGGCCACCCAUCAAUAUUACAGCUUUUCUUUUUCUUUUGAUGUUCCAGGUGACCUGCAGGAAAUGUAGAAAUCAGGAAACUGACAUACAAAAGAAAAAGUUAGUAGCAAAUGGAAACAACUUUAUAAAAAUAUAAUAUGGUAUAUAGUAUAAAAAUUAUACUACAGUAUACUUUUUACUUUAUAAAAAGUAUACCAUAAAAUAGUUUUAAAACUAUUUUUAUACUAUAUAAAUAGUAUAAGCAGUAUAAAAUAGGCUGGGCAGGAUGGCUCAUGCCUGUAAUCCUAGCACUUUGGGAGGCCGAGGCAGGUGAAUCAACUGAGGUCAGGAGUUUGAGACCAGCCUGGCCAACACGGUGAAACCCUGUCUCUACUAAAAAUACAAACCCUGUCUCUACUGAAAAUUAGCUAUGCGUGGUGGCACAUGCCUGUAGUCCCAGCUACUUAGGAGGCUGAGGCAGGAGAAUUGUUUCAACCCAGGAGGCAGAGGUUGCAGUGAGCCGAGAUUGCACCACCGCACUCCAGCCUGGGCUAUAGAGCAAGACUGUCUCAAAAAAAAAAAAAAAGGAUAAAAUAGUUUUAGGACAUAGUUUUAUAUCUAACAUGAUAUGACACUGAGUUAUUGUGUAAAAAGUUAUUUUAAAAUAUAAAAGUAAAUUCUUUGAACUAAGACAAUGAGAAAUUAAAUAUAAAUGUUUAAGACCAAACUUAAACCUAGAAAAAACAUCAUCUCAAAAUGACAUGUUUCCCAUGGCAUAAGAAGCUGCUACAACUUUUAAGUGUGUAGGUGGUGGAUUUUGAAAUCUUUCUAGAUUUUUCUUUCUUGAGAAAUCUGGGUUUAUCUUGAAAACCCUGAAUUAGAAAAAUUAGAUUGAUUUCAUUCAGCGGCAAACACAGGCAGAUGUAUACUGAAUCAUAUUUCUUAAAAAUCUCAAAUUUAGAAGAUUGUGAGGUUGAAUGAGGUCAUCUCCUGAAGCUUCUAUAGCAGGAAUGCCGAUCCAUGAUGAAGGACAGGAUUGCAUUUAUUUUCUUUAGAUGAUCUACCAUUGAACAGUAGAGACAGGGUCCCUCACGGUCUGUAUCCAAACAGAACCCGGAUUUUUACAGACUGAUCGAGGCAUAAUGCUCAGAACUACAUCUCUUUAGAGGCUCACUUUGCAAGGAAAAAAGAAAUCAUUCUGCCCUAGAAGGGGGCUGUAGGAAGUAUUCACAAUGAGUCAAUUAAUAUCAAGAUCUCCUGUUCCAGGAAACUGUUACUAAGUAUUACAAAGGAAAUUUUAUGUGCUCACAUAAGUUUAGAAAACACUGGCUUAAAGCUGGUAUAGAAUUAUUCUUUCCUAGAGAAAUAUUUACAGCAUUCACUAUGCUAAUAUGAAUUGUGAUCCCUAGACAGAGGCAUCUGAUGUGAAGUAAGUCUCAAACUUAUUUGACUAUAGAACUUAUUUUUAAAGUCCUCUGAAGGGACCAGUGUUUUGAGGAAAACAUUAUGGGAGGUAUGGGACUGGAUCAAAAGCUAAUGAGGAUAUUGUAAGGGGUAUUGUCCUGGUGUGGAGUGGCUGCAGCACAACUUGAAGAGAUCAAUUUCUAGAAUUUCAUCCCACAUCUGCUGAAAUCAGUCAUUUAAAGGUAGGGCAGGAGAUAGCUCCAUUUUAAAUAAAUGUCUCAGAUAAUUCUCAUGUCCAUUGAGGGCAGAGGUCCCACCAGUGCAGAGAUGGGUUAAGAACCGCUCAAUGAUGUAACUUC